GGAUUAGAUACCCUGGUAGUCCACGCCGUAAACGAUGAGCACUAGUUGUCUCGGGUAUCGACCCCUGAGGUGACGUAGCUAACGCGUUAAGUGCUCCGCCUGGGGAGUACGGCCGCAAGGCUAAAACUCAAAGGAAUUGACGGGGGCCCGCACAAGCGGUGGAGCAUGUGGUUUAAUUCGAUGCAACGCGAAGAACCUUACCUAGGCUUGACAUGUGGAGAAGCUGUCCGAAACGACGGUGUGCCCUUCGGGGAACUCCAGCACAGGUGCUGCAUGGCUGUCGUCAGCUCGUGCCG
rnacentral:rRNA from 1 species